rnacentral:rRNA from 1 species
CCUACGGGGGGCAGCAGUGGGGGAUAUUGCACAAUGGGGGGAACCCUGAUGCAGCGACGCCGCGUGGGUGAAGAAGCGCCUCGGCGCGUAAAGCCCUGUCAGCAGGGAAGAAAAUGGCGGUACCUGAAGAAGAAGCCCCGGCUAACUACGUGCCAGCAGCCGCGGUAAUACGUAGGGGGCAAGCGUUAUCCGGAUUUACUGGGUGGAAAGGGGGCGCAGACGGCGAUGCAAGCCAGGAGUGAAAGCCCGGGGCCCAACCCCGGGACUGCUCUUGGAACUGCGUGGCUGGAGUGCAGGAGGGGCAGGCGGAAUUCCUGGUGUAGCGGGGAAAUGCGUAGAUAUCAGGAGGAACACCGGUGGCGAAGGCGGCCUGCUGGACUGCAACUGACGUUGAGGCCCGAAAGCGUGGGGAGCAAACAGGAUUAGAUACCCGAGUAGUC